rnacentral:rRNA from 1 species
AUUGAACGCUGGCGGCAGGCCUAACACAUGCAAGUCGAGCGGCAGCGGGUCCUUCGGGAUGCCGGCGAGCGGCGGACGGGUGAGUAAUGCCUAGGAAUCUGCCUGGUAGUGGGGGAUAACGUUCGGAAACGGACGCUAAUACCGCAUACGUCCUACGGGAGAAAGUGGGGGAUCUUCGGACCUCACGCUAUCAGAUGAGCCUAGGUCGGAUUAGCUAGUUGGUGGGGUAAAGGUUCACCAAGGCGACGAUCCGUAACUGGUCUGAGAGGAUGAUCAGUCACACUGGAACUGAGACACGGUCCAGACUCCUACGGGAGGCAGCAGUGGGGAAUAUUGGACAAUGGGCGAAAGCCUGAUCCAGCCAUGCCGCGUGUGUGAAGAAGGUCUUCGGAUUGUAAAGCACUUUAAGUUGGGAGGAAGGGCAGCUAGUUAAUACCUGGUUGUUUUGACGUUACCAACAGAAUAAGCACCGGCUAACUUCGUGCCAGCAGCCGCCGUAACAC